GGGUAACAGUUGUCAAACUAAAUGUUCUAAAAGCCAAGAAACUUGUUAUGAUUCUGAAAUAGCCCAGGGUGCAAUGUUUUCUGGCCGUGGAACUUGCAACUGCGGUAAAUCCUUGUGUAACAAAACAAAAGACGAAGAUACCUAUACUGGAAAUUUCUGUGAAGUCCCACGUUGUAGAGAGCUGAAAGAACUUGUUUAGUGUUUAGCUUUUAAAACCGGAGCAUUAGCCGAAUAUGAUUGCCG